ACAUGGAGGACCACACGUUUUCAAGAUCUAAAUUUCAGGAACAGGCGUCUUCUUCAUUGGCCAGGAAAAGAAAACUGAUAUUGAAAAGAGCAAGAGACUGGCGUCGUCAGAAAAAAGAGUGAACAUUAGAGCUGCUUUGGAUGCACACACCAAAUCCUAACUAAUUAAUUAUCCUCUGGACCGCUGUAGUCUCUUUUUUUUUUUUUUUCCUUUCCGUCGGGUGGCACACGUGCCUGCUCGUGGUGUGAAGCGCGCGUCCGCACCACUCUCUGACAUGCACUCCAACAACCACGGCUGAUAGACGGCCUUUUGUACACUUUUGCUUUUUGAAGCAUGACGGCCACCGUAGCUGUAACACGUACUUUGAACUGCGUGGCGAGAGAGAGUUGAUUGCGAUAUAUGAUCUCAAUGCUAGAUAGGUCUAAUGUUAGCC